rnacentral:lncRNA from 1 species
CUGCUGAUCGUGGGUGAAGCGACGUGGGAGUGAUGGGCAGUUGCUGCAGCGUAGGGCAUUGUUGAGAGGGAAGAACGUGGGCAGUUGCGGUUGCUGCGGCGCUGAGGCACAAAAACUGCCUAGGGCUGCUGUUGAAAAUUGUUAGGGCUAGGUAUUGGGCCAGUGUUGGAUUAUUGUAUUUGGGCCGAUGGGUUUCCGUUUGAUGUAAUCUGGGCUUUAGUUUUAGUUGGGCCCGGGUAAAAAUUGGGUAUUACAGCAUCGCCAACACCUAGCAAAACAAAGCAAGAAGCAAAAAAUAUAAAAACAGUAAAAAACAGCAGCCAAAAAGAAAGAAGAGAAGAAAGAAAAGAAAAAAGAGAAGAAAGAAAAGAGAGAGAGAGGAAGAGAAGGGGGCGCGCCGGCCACCGCACCACCGGGCAGAGGGAGCGUCGUUGACGGCACAAAAGGGCAAGGUUCAGCCCGAAGAAGAAAAAGAAAAAAAAGAAAGAAGAAAAAAAAGGAAGAAAAAAGAAGAAAAAUAGAAAAAAAUAUCACAGUCGGGUCAACCCGACCCGACCGACUCGACCCAGCUCGCAGAACCGACCCGACCCGUUGCAGAAACCCAAAACAACAACUCAAAAAAAAAACAGCAGCAGCCCUCCCCAGCAGUAGGCCAACAGCAGAACAGGCCCAAUCCAGCAGGCCAGGCAGCCAACAGGCCAACCAGCAGCAGGCCCGUUCCAGCGCCAGCAGGCCCCAAGCCCGUUCCAGCAGCAGGCCAGCAUCCAGCCCAGUAGCCCAAUCUGCAAAAAAAAAAGAGAAAAAGAAAAAAAUAAAAAAGAAAAGGCCCAAAAAAUUUGAGAAGCCCAUAACUUUGGGCUUUUGGUAAAUUCUUAAUCUUUUUUUAAUUUAGUACAUUUAUUUAAAUAUUAUCUCAUUUUAAUUCAAUUAGUAUUUUUAUGGUGUUUUUGAAAUAUCAUUUUGUCUAUUUUAUUUUAUAGUUUUAAAUUUAAAUAAUUUCGUUUUUAGAAUAGGAAAAUUUAUUUUAAUGCAUAAGGCAACGCACCGGUUUAAUAUCAAGUCAUCGAAUUCAUCGCUAUGUUGGGUGAAUAUCGAUGGCUUGUGUUAAAUACGGGACGCCCUUUUAAAAAAAUAUAGAAAAUAUUCAAAAAUCCUCGUGUUUUAAAAAAAAUUCUCGUGUUUUAAUAAGAUCACGAUUAAAUAUUAAAUUCAAUCGGCUUGACACUAAUUCUUCGAUUUCAUUGCCAUGUUGGGGUUAAUAUCGUCGAUUGGUGUUAAAUACGGUAUUUUUUUUAAAUUCCCGUAUUUUCACAAAAUUCCAAUAUUUAAAAUUUUUCGUGUUUUCAGAAAAUUCCCGUGUCGCCAAAAAAAUUUUCGUUUUUUCUAAAAACUUCUGUGUUUCAUAAAUUUUCAUGUUCUCAAAAAUUCCGAUGAUCAAAAAAAUUUUCGUGUUUUCUAAAAAUUUUUGUGUUUCAAAAAUUUUCGUGUUUUCCAAAAUUUUCUUGAUUUCAACAAUUCUCGUGUUUCACAAAUUUUCGCGUUUCAAAAAAAAUCGUGUUUUCAAAAAAAAAUUCUCGUGUUUCAAAAUUCUUGUGUUUCAAAAUUGUCGCGUUUUCAAAAAUUUUCGUGUUUUUAAGAAUUUUCGUGUCUCUAAAAUUCUCGUGUGUUAAAAUUUUUUUGUGUUUUUAAAAAAAAUAAUAAUUGUCUCAAAAAUCUUCGUGUUUUAAAAAAUAUUCGUAUUUUGAUCGGAUCGCGAUUAACUAUUAAAUUGAACUUGUAUUUUUGAAAAUUAAGACAACGCGCGUUUAACGAGAUACCAAUUUUGGGCGUCGCGAGGGUGCUAAUACCUUCCUCGCGCGUAACCGACUCCCGAACUCUAUUUUUCUCUGGAUUUUCACGUAGACCUAAAAUUACCUCUUUUUUAGAAAAAUUUAAAAAUAAAUUUUUCUUCAAAAAAAGAGAAUUCAUUAGGUGUCCGAUCACACCUAGAAAAAAGAUCGGUGGCGACUCCUUUUUUCAAAUAAAAUCGAAACUCUGCUUUCAAAUUUUCAAUAAUCACUUCGACAAGCGCCCAUCGCGAAAUUUUUAGGUCGCUACAGCUGGGGACUCCACUGGGGACCUUUUUUUUGAGAGUCGAGUCUGAUGUUAAACGCGUGUUGUCAAAAUUUUCAAAUUUUCUUAUUCAAAUUAAUUUUUAAUCGUGAUCCUUGAAUUUUAUUUUUGAAAAGUCAUGCAUCUGCAUUCGGUUUUUAAAUUAAUAUUUUUCUAACUUGUUUUGGUUUUCUUUUUUUUAGCUCUAAGUUUUACGGUUUUUUAGUUUGUUUUUUUUAGAAAAAUAAAAAAUAAAAGGUUUGUGAGUUUCUCCCCACACACCGUGCACUUGCAUUCUUGCAUAACAUGAGCUCUCUGCCCGGGCACCGUCCGUUUAAGUGGAAGUAAACGCUACGCCUUCGUGAGUUAACCCGUCCCUCCGCACAGGCUAGUGAAUUACUUCCGGGUUACAUAUGACUUAUGCUUUCGUGAGUUAACUUGUCCCUCCGCAUAGGCAUAAGUAAAUGUAAUCCCUUGAAUUGAGCUCGCGAGCCCUGACGGGCGAUAACCGAGGCUCCGUACUAGCCUUAGUAGGUGACAGUAUGGACAAUUCGAGUACCUUUCUAGAACCGAAACUGCAUAUAGUGAACCGUAUGAGCCACUCGAGUAGAGCCAUGCCAAACCUCCGUCCGUUGAAUAGUUACCAAAAUAAGUACACGGGAGAAACGCCUCUUACCUUUUAUUUCUUUUACAUUUACAUUUAUUUGCAAAUGAAUUGAGUCUAUUUAAUAAAUUGGGUCGGGUAGAUUGUCUGAUUGUAUGUGGGGUAGGUUUUUGUAAAGCAUGUUGGGGCAAAAAAAAUGUGGGUCUGUCCCUCCAAAUUGCAUGAUUGAAUAGCUUAAUUCGUUAAAUUCUCCAUAGUCUUUAUUUUUCUUCUUUCUUCUGUUUAUAUCUGUUGUGAUCUCUAACCAAGGUUAUUUCUUCUUCAUUUUAUUUUUCUUCAUGCAUCGUAGACAUCUCAUUAGGAAUGUGUUGAUUAGAGAUUGAUUGUCAAAAACGGGUUUCUGAUGGAGGAGUCAAUUACACGAGUAACCGAGAAAAAUGUUGUAAUCCGAGAUUGGUCUUUGAGAACUCAGAAAGCGAAAGGGGACAGUUUGAAGGAAGGAUACACCUCUGAUCUUCCCGAGCGUGUGACCUCGAAUGUGCGUCAGAAUGACCUUGAAGACUUGACAAGGAUUUGGAAACAGUGGGACUCAGAUACUAGAGGCAUCUUCACCGAGAAGUAUGGGGAUAUAGCUCACUUGAUAGCAAUCGAUGUGAACGAGCAAUUGAUCCAAGCCAUGGUUCGAUUCUGGGACCCAGCCUAUCAGUGUUUCACUUUCAAUCAGGAAUAUAUAACUCCGACCAUAGAAGAGUAUGCCGCUUUGCUUCGCAUCGAUAAUGUGCAAUUCAACAAGAUAUAUGUGAAGGAGCCUAAACAAAUGACCUUCAAGAAAAAGUUAAUGAAGUUGACGGGGAUGACUGAUACAUGGGCUGAAAAACAGAUAAAGAAGAAGAAUGAAGUCAGUUGUGUUCCGUGGUUUUCUCUACGGGAGUUAGUUCAGAAUCAUCCAGAUGUGUUGAAAAGAGUAGAUCUGUUUGCCUUGGGCGUUUACGGACUGGUCGUCUUCCCGAAAGUUCUUGGGCAUAUUGAAGUUGUGGUUGUGGAUUUCUUCGAAAAGUUGAGGUAAAGAGUCAACCCGGUCCCAACCAUCUUGGCUGAGACUUUUAGAUCUCUAAAUGCUUGUAGGAGAAAAGGGGAAGGACGUUUUAUCGGAUGCGCUCAGUUACUGAAUGUUUGGAUCUUUAGCCAUUUUUGGAAGGUGGAGCGCACGCCUUUCCACAUGUUUUCAAAAACAUUCACUUCGUUAGAAGCACACCUUGAAAAAGAUUGGCCAAGGGACGUCACUGAACAGCAGUGGGUCUCGGUUUUUCAGAACUUCGUGCUGAAGAUGUAACUUGGAGAGCACCUUGGAUUUGUCCUUCUGUUUUGUUAUACAGGUGCGGAAACCAAGACUUGAUGCCUUUGCUAGGAUUGUGGGGAGGAGUUGGAUAUGCUCCAUUAACUGUUCAAAGACAAUUCGCUUCACGACAGUUUGUACCAGUUACUGAUGGAUUGGCACAAUCAGAGUUCGCCUUUACGGGUGAGGGUUACAUGAAAAGGGUUCAAGAUACUGUGAGUUCUUGGAAGAAAAUUUACCUAAUGGAAUUCGCUCUCUAUGCUGAUACUCUCACUGUAGAUUAUGACAUAUGGAGGCAACAACGAGUGAAGAGUCAACUGACCCUGCUAAUUGAUGAUGCUUGCCAGAAUCCGUUCUCAGAGGGAAUGCCUUCCGAGCUAGAAAUAGCAAGACAGGAAUUUGAACGUAAAAAAGUCAAAUUGUUGCGAGAUAUUAGUUCUCUUCAGGAGGAGAACUACCAGCUGAAGAUUGAUGUUGAAAGUCUAAAAAGAAGUUGAGGUCACGAGAAAAGAUUUAAGAGACUUUCAUUUUGAAAAUAAGAAAUUAAGAGGCACUAUAAGGAAUAGUGGAUUAGGCAAAUCAUCGGCAGAAUGAAAGGAAGAACUAAGCAACGUCAAAGGUGGAAUGAAAUCCUGGAAAGCAAAAGCGAAGAAGAAAAAGGAAAGAGCUGCCUGUGCUAUGAUAGAGAUAAGGAAAAAGAAUGCAGAAUACAAAGCUAUGCCUGCAGAAUUAACGGCUAGUUAGUCUAAGCAUCAAGAACUAAAAGGGAAAAUCCAAAGUCUAGAAAGUAUAGUACAAGCUCAUCAGCACCAUUUGGAUGACCUCCUAAGAGCUCUAGAAGAUAAGAAUGAUCAGUAUGACAGAGAUAUUCGUGCCUACAAAAGAGCACUCCAAGAAAAGGAUAUGCAUAUCAGUGGCUUGAUCAAUGAAAUUCGCAAGGCAGCUUUGAAAAUUGUGCAAUUAUUAGAUGAAGCCGAAGUCUUUAGUUGCCAAUUCCCUCCGAGCCAAUGAUCAAGUAUGUCAGAAUUCCUAGAACGAGUGAAGAAACAAUGCGACAUGACUAGGAAAUUUGUGUAACUGUUAAAUCUGAAAUGGCAAAACAUUUUGUAAUUGGCUAUUUUGAUUAAUGAAACGCCAAAGUAUGGGGCUAUCUUGAAAUCAACACCAUUUUUUGCAUAUUUAUGCAUGACUUACAUUCAUUCAUUCAUUCAUUGCAUGUGCAUAUCACCCUAAUCAUUCACUAAGGCCAGAACCGCAUAAUCCACAGUUGUGACAGUCUGGAAUCACGUCAUUCUUAUAGAACACAUCUAAGAGCUAAAGCUAUGGAUGCUAAGCUCAACGAGAGUGAUACAAUUGAUGAUGUUUCAAUGAUACACCCUUGUCCUCCAGGACAUGUUUUGAACAAUUGGACUGCUGUGAACCUUCUUGUAGUUUCUAAGUCCUCUCCAGAGUAAUGUUCAAUGUUAAUUCUCCAUUAUUUUGUAUGUCCCUAAGUAAUGGGAUUCCUUUUGUAAGAGCUUAUAUUUGCUAUUUAUCAUUUCAAUGAACAUUAAUGAAGAUGUUUUUUUCAUGGUAUUUUCAUUUCCAUUAGUUUUGUAAUUAUUCCCUCUUCUCACAGCCUUUCCCUACACGUAUCUCAUAUCACUCCAUAACAUUGUGUUUGUUGAUUCCAAUACUUUGAUGCUCCCCUAUAGCAGUAUUUUCUGUCCACCUUUCAAGUGCUCAGAUAUCCACGGCAUGAACAAUCCCGUUACAAGUCCUGAAAUCGAUUUCGAGAAGGCUAUUUGUUUAGGAGAAUUCGAAGCUAAGGAAGAUGCUGAAAAUUGUGUCCCGCCUCCUGACUUACUGAGAAUGGUUGAAAAAUAAGAGAAACAGAUUUUACCCCAUCAAGAAUCUAUUGAGACAGUGAACUUGGGAAGAGAAGAAAAUAAACAAGAAGUAAAGAUUGGGAUUUCCAUUUCAGAGAACACCAAACAGAAUUUGAUCGCCUUGCUCCGUGAGUACAAAAAUGUAUUCGCCUGGUCGUAUCAGGACAUGCCAGGGUUGAAUGAGGAUGUGGUGGUUCAUAAGCUCCCACUGAAACCGGAAUGCAAGCUCGUUCAGCAGAAGUUAAGAAGGAUGAGACCUGAAAUGUUGUUAAAGACAAAAGAAGAAGUUAAGAAACAAUAUGAUGCUGGCUUCUUACAGGUCUUUAAAUAUCCGGAAUGGGUAGCUAACAUAGUCCCGAUGCUGAAGAAAGAUGGCAAGGUACGAAUGUGCAUGGAUUAUCGUGAUUUGAACCGAGCAAGCCCUAAAGAUAAUUUUUCUUUACCACACAUCGAUACGUUAGUGGAUAACACGGUAAAACAUUAUUUAUUUUCGUUCAUGGAUGGUUUCUCGGGUUAUAAUCAGAUAAAAAUGGCUGUUGAAGACAUGGAAAAAACUACAUUCAUAACAAUGUAGGGAACCUUCUGCUAUAAGGUAAUGCCGUUUGGAUUAAAGAAUGCUGGGGCAACAUAUCAGAGAGCCAUGGUAACGUUGUUCCAUGAUAUGAUGCACAAAAAAAUAGAAGUUUAUGUCGAUGACAUGAUUGCCAAAUCUUGGGAAGAAAAAGAGCAUGUUGGGAAUCUCAAGAAGCUGUUUGAAAAGUUAAGAAAAUUCCAGUUGAAACUUAACCCGACCAAAUGUACAUUUGGGGCUACCUCGGGAAAACUGCUAGGUUUCAUUGUCAGUGAGAGAGGUAUCGAGGUUGAUCCAGACAAGAUAAAAGCUAUACAAGAACUGCCUCCCCCGCGCAUACAAAAAGAAGUCAGAGGAUUUUUAGGAAGGUUGAAUUACAUUGCUCGAUUCAUUGCCCAACUUACCAAUCAGUGUGAUCCAAUUUUUCGGCUCCUCCGAAAGCAUAAUCUGGGAGAAUGGAACGAGGAGUGCCAAGUGGCCUUCGAUAAGAUAAAACAGUAUCUAUCUAAUCCUCCGGUACUAGUAUCGCUGACCCUUGGAAAACCAUUAAUAUUGUACCUGACCGUGUUUGAGAACUCAAUGGGUUGCGAGCUGGGACAGCAUGAUGAGUCGAGGAAAAGAGAAAAAACAAUUUACUACCUUAGCAAGAAAUUCACAGAGUAUGAGGCAAAGUACCCUUCAAGUGAAAAAUUUUGUUGUGCGUUGAUUUGGACGGUUCGAAGGCUCAGACAAUACAUGUUGUAUCAUACGACAUGGUUAAUUUCGAAACUGGACCCAAUAAAAUACAUGAUGGAGUCACCUGCACUCUCAGGAAGAAUGGCAUGAUGGCAGAUCCUACUAACUGAGUAUGACAUUACAUAUGUGAGCCAAAAGUCAAUAAAUGGAAGCGCAAUAGCUGACUUCUUGGCAAGUCGAACAACGGAGGAAUACGAGUCUUUGAGAUUUGAUUUCCCAGAUGAAGAUUUGAUGUGCAUUUCAGAAAAAGAGGGUGAGUCAUCAAAAGAGAAAUCAUGGAAGAUGAGCUUCGAUGGCGCAUCGAAUGCAUUGGGGCAUGGGAUCAGAGCAGUCUUGGUGUCACCGGAAGGAGAUCAUUACCCGCUCACUGCCAGAUUAAACUUCUUCUGUACCAAUAAUAUAGCGGAAUAUGAAGCUUGCAUCAUGGGGCUUCGUGCAGCUAUCGAGAGGAAAAUCAAAAUCUUAUAAGUGCACGGGGACUCAGCAUUAGUCAUCUAUGAAAUCCGUGGAGAUUGGGAAGUGAGGGAUUCGAAAUUAUUCAAAUAUCGCGAUCUCGUUGCAGAAUUGGUCAAAGAGUUCUAUGAAGUGACUUUUAACUACUUUCCACGGGAAGAGAAUCAAUUGGCUAAUGCUCUGGCCACAUUGGCUUCAAUGUUCAAAGCAAACAGAGAAACUGAGAUAAUGCCCAUCCAAAUGAGUAUAUAUGAGACCCCCACACACUGUUGUAGUAUUGAGGAGGAGUCAGAUGGACGACUAUGGUUCCAUGAUAUCUUGGAGUAUAUCAAAAAUCAAAGGUACCUCGAGCAAGCAAACGAGAAUGACAAAAGAACAAUCAGGAAAUUGGCGGUUGGAUUUGUUCUUGACGGGGAUAUUCUAUACAAAAUAGGAAAAGAUCAAGUGCUCAUGAGGUGCGUGGACGCUGUUGAACCCAGAAAGAUACUUAAGGAGGUUCAUGAAGGAAUUUAUGGAACGCAUGUCAGUGGUUUCACUAUGGCCAGGCAGAUUAUGAGACUUGGUUAUUACUGGCUGACGAUGGAAAGCAAUUGCAUUGGCUACGCACGAAAGUGCCACAAAUGUCAAAUUUAUGGUGAUAAAAUUCAUGCAGCUCCAUCGCCCCUUCAUGUCAUGACUUCUCCGUGGCCUUUUUCUAUGUGGGGCAUGGAUGUUAUAAGGCCAAUUUCCCCGAAAUCUUCCAAUGGACAUCGAUUCAUCUUUGUGGUUAUAGACUACUUCACAAAAUGGGUAGAAGCCACUUCGUUUGCUAAUGUGACAAAGGCUGCAGUCUGUAGGUUCUUAAAAAAUGAGAUCAUAUGUCGAUAUGGUCUGCCUGAAAGAAUCAUUUCAAAUAAUGCUUUAAAUUUGAACAACAAGAUGAUGAAAGAAGUAUGUGAGCAAUUUCAGAUAAAGCAUCAUAAUUCUUCGCCCUGUCGCCCGAAGAUGAACGGAGCAGUAGAAGCGGCUAAUAAGAACAUUAAGAGGAUUCUCGGGAAGAUGACUGAGACAUAUAAAGACUGGCAUGAGAAGCUACCAUUCGCUUUGUAUGCAUACCGCACCUCUGUGCGAACAUCUACAGGGGCAACUCCUUUUUCUCUAGUCUACGGAAUGGAGGUCGUUCUGCCUAUCAAAGUAGAGAUCCCAUCCCUGCGCGUUUUGAUAGAGACAAAGUUAGAAGAAUCAGAGUGGGUUCGAGCUCGAUAUGAUCAACUAAACCUUAUUGAAGGGAAACGCUUGAAGGCAAUUUGUCAUGGACAGAUGUAUCAGAAAAGAAUGAUCACGGCCCAUGAUAAAAAUGUACGGCCAAGAGAAUUCCGCGAAGGGGAGCUGGUACUAAGAAAGAUCCUCCCGAUACAAAAAGACUUUCGAGGAAAAUGGUCACCAAAUUGGGAAGGGCCAUACGUUGUAAAAAAGGCAUUCUCAGGAGGGGCUCUGAUUCUCACUGAGAUGUAUGGGAAAGAAUUACCUAAUCCAGUGAACUCAGAUGCUGUGAAGAAAUAUUAUACCUAAAAAAACAACAAAAAAACAAAAAAAAAGAAAAAAAGAAAAAGAAAAAUCGAGAUGAAAACCCGAAAAGGGCGUCUUGAUAAACAAAAAGAUUAGGAUGAAAACCCGAAAGGGCGUCUUAAUGAAGCAGAUUCGGACUUAAGGAGCAAGGCGACUUGAACGGGGAGUCGAAUUGCGAGGUUACAAUAUUUGAAGCAUUCUCAGAAGCUCGAAAUCUUCUACACAGGAAGCUAUGCUCAAAAAGAUUCAAAAUGAAGAAACGUGAAGAAGUUUAAGCGUUGGAUAUCUAGAGCAUUCGUGGCCAUUGAAUUCACUUUCCUUUCUUUAUGAUGCUUUCUUUAUUUGAACUAUUCCUUGUCAAUUUUCUGUGUUUGUUGCUAUCGAAAAAAUUGAAUGUGAGGUAUUUUCUUUCAUGCCUACUUUGCCAUUUUUUCUAUGCAUCUCGUGUUUGAUUCAUUUAAAUGAUAAAUAGUAAGAUGACAUACUCUAAACAAAAGAAAUCUUGAACAUUACCUGGAUGAGAAUUUGACAAGUACAAGGGCCCCAAAGCAGGAACAAUGUUCAGCAGGGGGCAAGAGAGUGAUAUAUGGAGAAAUGUGGAUUACUCACAGACCUUGAGGAUGAGUACAAAACUAGAGAGAAAAGUCAAGAAUUGAGGAAAUAAAUGAAGGCCCUCACGAAAGUCAGAAGGGGUCAUGUGACAAACAACCAAGAAUGCAUGGCAUGAUCAUGUAGACAUAAAAGCAUUUAGGACAAACAUGUGCAUAUCAUAAUAACAUCAUACAUGACAUAUACAGGAAUACCAGUUGAGCAAAGAAUUUUGGGAGAAAGCUGCACAGAAUCAAUGAAGAAGAAGACUUUUAGUUUCACCAGAUGUUUUUUGAAACCCUGUUUCUUUCAAGAAAUAUUUUUCAAUUACUACUUUUUUCAAAAAUCAACUCAUAAUACGAGAGAUGAGUUGAGCCUCGGGUCACGCUGAGGUAUUUUUAAUUUAUGUUUUUUUCAAAAAUCAACUCAUAAUACGAGAGGUGAGUUGAGCCUCGGGUCACGUUGAGGUAUUUUUUUUAAUUUCUGUUUUUUUUCAAAAAAUCAACUCAUAAUACGAGAGGUGAGUUGAGCCUUGGGUCACGCUGAGGUAUUUUUUUAAAUUUCUGUUUUUCAAAAAUCAACUCAUAUUGCGAGAGGUGAGUUGAGCCUCAGACACAUGCCGAGGUAUUUCUUUUAAAUUUCUGUUUUUCAAAAAUCAACUCAUAUUGCGAGAGGUGAGUUGAGCCUCAGAUCACACGCUGAGGUAUUUUUUAAAUUUAUGUUUUUUUUCAAAAAAUCAACUCAUAAUACAGAGGUGAGUUGAGCCUCGGGUCACGCUGAGGUAUUUUUAAAUUUCUGUUUUUUUUUUCAAAAAAUCAACUCAUAAUACAGAGGUGAGUUGAGCCUCGGGUCACGCUGAGGUAUUUUUUUUAAUUUCUGUUUUUUCAAAAAUCAACUCAUAAUACAGAGGUGAGUUGAGCCUCGGGUCACGCUGAGGUAUUUUUUUUAAAUUUAAUUUCUGUCUUUUUUUAAAAAUCAACUCAUAAUACGAGAGGUGAGUUGAGCCUCGGGUCACGCUGAGGUAUUUUUUAAUUUCUAUUUUUUCAAAAAUCAACUCAUAAUACGAGAGGUGAGUUGAGCCUCGGGUCACGCUGAGGUAUUUUUAAUUUCUGUCAUUUUUUAAAAAUCAACUCAUAAUACGAGAGGUGAGUUGAGCAUCGGGUCACGCUGAGGUAUCUUUAAUUUCUGUCUUUUUUUAAAUCAACUCAUAAUACGAGAGGUGAGUUGAGCCUCGGGUCACGCUGAGGUAUUUUUAAUUUCUGUCUUUUUUAAAAAUCAACUCAUAAUACGAGAGGUGAGUUGAGCCUCGGGUCGCGCUGAGGUAUUUUUAAUUUCUGUCUUUUUUAAAAUCAACUCAUAUUGCGAGAAGUGAGUUGAGCCUUGGGUCCUAUGCCGAGGUGUUUUUCAAUCUCUAUUUUUCAAAGGUCAACUCAUAAUCUGAGAAGUGAGUUGAACUUCGAAUCGCACAACAAGCUAUUUUCAAUUUCAGGCUUUGAAAAAAUAUGGACAAAAAAAAAUUUGGACAAUCGAACAAAAUUCAGUGCUUUAAAGUCUUUGCUCUAUCCCUGUUUCACAGCGAUGAGCAAAGAGGGGCAGCUGUAAUCACUGAAUUUUACCCGAUUAGAAUUUUGGGCCGGGUCGAUCUCGUAUGGGCCCAAUGAUCGGGCCCAUUAGGAUUUAAUUUUGGAAUUGUUUUAGCCCAUUUUUAAUUUUUGUUUUAAAUAUUAAUAAAAUAGCCAUAAUAAAAUUUUGGAAAAAAAAUACAAAAAAACAUAAAUUACAUUUUGGCCCCUAAACUUUUCAAAAAUUACAUUCCAACCCCUAAACUUUCUCAAAAUUUCACUUUAACCCCUAAACUUUCUAAAAAUUACAUUUUGGCCCCAUAUUUUCCUAAAAUUACAUUUUUACCCCAAAUAUUUAGCGUCUUCUUCAUUUUGGUCCUUCUGGGCAUGACAGACCACCCCCAAUCGGUGUUUUUGCGUGCCCCCCUCCACCUCUACUACCACCUGAAGACAAACAAAAAGAAGACAAAAUUGAAAGAUUAAAAGGAGAAAAUUGAAGAGAAAGAGGGGGAUUUUUUUCGGAUAGGAACUAAAGAAAAAAAGCAAAAAAAAAAAGAAGAAGAGCAAAGAAACUUCAAAAAAAUCUAGAAUUCGGCCGAUUCCUCCUGCAACCACCGUCGUUGCAGCGCCACCGUGUCCACCGCCCCACACCACCAUCGCCAACACCUAGCAAAACAAAGCAACAAGCAAAAAAAUAUAAAAACAGUAAAAAACAACAGCCAAAAAGAAAGAAGAGAAGAAAGAAAAGAGAGAGGAAGAGAAGGGGGCGCGCCGGCCACCGCACCACCGGGCGGAGGGAGCGUCAUUGACGGUGCAAAAGGGCAAGGUUCAGCCUGAAGAAGAAAAAGAAAAAAAGAAAGAAGAAAAAAAGGAAGAAAAAAGAAGAAAAAUAGAAAAAAAUCACAGUCGGGUCAACCCGACCCGACCGACUCGACCCAGCUCGCAGAACCGACCCGACCCGUUGCAGAAACCCAAAACAACAACUAAAAAAAAAAUAGCAGCAGCCCUCCCUAGCAGCAGGCCAACAGCAGACCUGGCCCAAUCCAGCAGGCCUAGCAGGCUAGGCAGCCAACAGGCCAACCAGCAGCAGGCCCGUUCCAGCGCCAGCUGGCCCCAAGCCCGUUCCAGCAGCAGGCCAGCAUCCAGCCCAGCAGCCCAAUCUGCAAAAAAAAAAAAAGAGAAAAAGAAAAAAAAAGAAAAAAGAAAAGGCCCAAAAAAUUUGAGAAGCCCAUAACUUUGGGCUUUUGGUAAAUUCUUAAUCUUUUUUUUAAUUUAGUACAUUUAUUUAAAUAUUAUCCCAUUUUAAUUCAAUUAGUAUUUUUAUGGUGUUUUUAAAAUAUCAUUUUGUCUAUUUUAUUUUAUAGUUUUAAAUUUAAAUAAUUUCGUUUUUAGAGUAGGAAAAUUUAUUUUAAUGUAUAAGGCAACGCACCGGUUUAAUAUCAGUCAUCGAAUUUAUCGCUAUGUUGGGUGAAUAUCGAUGGCUUGUGUUAAAUACGGGACGCCCUUUUAAAAAAAUAUCGAAAAUAUUCAAAAAUCCUCGUGUUUUUAAAAAAAUUCUCGUGUUUUAAUAAGAUCACGAUUAAAUAUUAAAUUCAAUUGGCUUGACACUAAUUCUUCGAUUUCAUUGCCAUGUCGGGGUGAAUAUCGUCGAUUCGGGUUAAAUACGGUAUGUUUUUUUUAAAUUCCCGUAUUUUAACAAAAUUCCAAUUUUUAAAAUUUUUCGUGUUUUCAAAAAAUUCCCGUGUCGCCAAAAAAAUUUUCGUUUUUUCUAAAAACUUCUGUGUUUCAUAAAUUUUCAUGUUCUGAAAAAUUC